UAAUUAAAAAUAAUCAAAAAAAAUUUAAUAUUACAUCAUUUUUCUAAAAUAUUAACUAUUAAUUUUCAAAUAAGUUUAAUAAAUAAUAUACCGUUAGAAUGUAAUCUUAACAUUUUCGUCACACAAUUGAAAGUUGUAUAUAUAUUUAUGUAUGUGCGUAUUGAUUAAAUUUGUAUAAACGACGCAAAUUUGUAAGCAUUUUUCUACUCCUAUUUUUUUUUUUUUUUUUUUUCUUUAAUUUCUUCCCACGUAUUAUUAAGCUUAAUUUGAUCUUAUACUCUUACACUAUUUUGUUAUAAAAGUGUUGAAUAUUUAAAAAUAAAUAUUAUAAAUUUUAUAUUUAAAAAAAAAAAAAAUAAAAAAAUGGACAGGUUAAACACAUCAAGAUGUGAUUUAGUAAAUUACACCCAAAAAAGAUAUUAUAACCCGAAGAUUCAUGUAUCUGGCUGGUAUGAUAUUCAAUAUGACGAAACUUAUAUAGAAAAUUAUAAUAGGAUGAAAAAUUUUUACGCCACGGAAAAUCCAUCUCCAAAAAAAACGCAUCGUAGGAAUAAAAAAAUGAACAACCAAAAAAACUAUUCGGAUGGCUCAAACAUUUUUUAUCAACAUUAUGAUACUGCAUAUUGGACAACAGAAAACAAGAGUUCUUAUAAACCAAAAUAAAUGAAAUGCUAUUUUUUUUAGUAUAUAUAUAUAUAUAUAUAUAUGACCAAGUACAUAUAUAUUAAUACAAAACUUUGGCAUAUUCAAAAAUAUAUACGUCUUUUAUAUAUAUAUAUAUACGAAGUAUUUUGAUUUUUAUUAUCAUAUAAUUAAACGCGUUUUUAUAAUGCAUCAAAAUUUGAAUAGAAAUUUAGUUUUUUUUUUGUUUUUGUUUUUUCUUUUUAAAUAAUAAUUUUAAUAAUAUAUGUUGCUUUUUGUUAUUUAAUUACCUAAUUAGCUAUAUAUUUAUCCAUCUUUUUAUCUGUUUUUGUUUGUUUUUGUUUGUUUUUUUGUAUAAAAAUAUUUGUUAUUUUAUAACUGACAUAACUAAUUUUGAGUUUGUUCAAGUUAUUUUAUUUCAUGUUAACAUUGUUGUUUUUGUAAUUUACUAAUCUACUUAUGUUUUUUUUGUUUUUUUUUGUAAAAUACAUAAUACUAUUCUCUAAUAAAAAUAGAUUAACAGUAUUUUAUAUAUAUUUU
rnacentral:lncRNA from 1 species